UUGAAAGGGAAACGAUUGAAGUCAGUCGUGCUGGCGCGAAAUCAACCUUCUCGUCUUGAGAUCACAUGGCGUGGCGAGCCUCAAAACCGUCACGAAGCGUGAACUCUUGGUGAAAUGGAGCACUUUCGUGUCCGCUGGUUAACAUCAAUUUCGAACGUCAUAAAAAGGCUGGAGGGAUGUGGCUCCUUCGGGAGUGUUAUAACCUUUAGCGGAAUGUGGUGUUCGGGAUUGAGGAUUGCAACGAAUACCUUUAGGGCUGUUCCACCUGGCUUCUCUUUGGUAUCCUGGUGACGACAGCUUGCUGACGUCGUUAGGAUUCGCCUUUGAACAGGUUAGAGUGUGAGCGAAUUCGUUAAGGAUGUUGACGUA
rnacentral:rRNA from 1 species